AUUGAACGCUGGCGGCAGGCCUAACACAUGCAAGUCGAGCGGCAGCGGGGGAAAGCUUGCUUUCCCGCCGGCGAGCGGCGGACGGGUGAGUAAUGUCUGGGAAACUGCCUGAUGGAGGGGGAUAACUACUGGAAACGGUAGCUAAUACCGCAUAACGUCUUCGGACCAAAGUGGGGGACCUUCGGGCCUCAUGCCAUCAGAUGUGCCCAGAUGGGAUUAGCUAGUAGGUGGGGUAACGGCUCACCUAGGCGACGAUCCCUAGCUGGUCUGAGAGGAUGACCAGCCACACUGGAACUGAGACACGGUCCAGACUCCUACGGGAGGCAGCAGUGGGGAAUAUUGCACAAUGGGCGCAAGCCUGAUGCAGCCAUGCCGCGUGUAUGAAGAAGGCCUUCGGGUUGUAAAGUACUUUCAGCGGGGAGGAAGGUGUUGUGGUUAAUAACCGCAGCAAUUGACGUUACCCGCAGAAGAAGCACCGGCUAACUCCGUGCCAGCAGCCGCAGUAAGAC
rnacentral:rRNA from 1 species